GACGAACGCUGGCGGCGUGCCUAAUACAUGCAAGUGGGACGCAAGGAAACACACUGUGCUUGCACACCGUGUUUUCUUGAGUCGCGAACGGGUGAGUAACGCGUAGGUAACCUGCCUAUUAGCGGGGGAUAACUAUUGGAAACGAUAGCUAAUACCGCAUAAUAUUAAUUAUUGCAUGAUAAUUGAUUGAAAGAUGCAAGCGCAUCACUAGUAGAUGGACCUGCGUUGUAUUAGCUAGUUGGUAAGGUAAGAGCUUACCAAGGCGACGAUACAUAGCCGACCUGAGAGGGUGAUCGGCCACACUGGGACUGAGACACGGCCCAGACUCCUACGGGAGGCAGCAGUAGGGAAUCUUCGGCAAUGGACGAAAGGCUGACCGAGCAACGCCGCGUGAGUGAAGAAGGGUGUCGGAUCGUAAAGCUCUGUUGUAAGUCAAGAACGUGUGUGAGAGUGGAAAGUUCACACAGUGACGGUAGCUUACCAGAAAGGGACGGCUAACUACGUG
rnacentral:rRNA from 1 species